AACUGCGAUAAGUAAUGUGAAUUGCAGAAUUCAGUGAAUCAUCGAGUCUUUGAACGCACAUUGCGCCCCCUGGCAUUCCCGGGGGCAUGCCUGUCCGAGCGUCAUUGCUGCCCUUCAAGCCCGGCUUGUGUGUUGGGUCGUCGUCCCCUCCGGGGGACGGGCCCGAAAGGCAGCGGCGGCACCGCGUCCGGUCCUCGAGCGUAUGGGGCUUUGUCACCCGCUCGAUAAGGACCGGCCGGGCGCCAGCCGGCGUCUCCAACCUUUUUUUCUCAGGUUGACCUCGGAUCAGGUAGGGAUACCCGCUGAACUUAAGC
rnacentral:misc_RNA from 1 species